AACGCACGAGACCUGCGGACCUGCGGAGGGAUCAUUACAGGAUUCGCAAGUCUCCCGUAAACCCCUGUGAACAUACCUAUACUCGUUGCCUCGGCGGGUGCUCCGGUGCGAACCGGGGCGCCAGCCCGCCGGCGGCUCGCUACUCUGUAUUGAAUACUGCAUCUCCGAGCAAUUGCAAACGAAUCAAAACUUUCAACAACGGAUCUCU
rnacentral:misc_RNA from 1 species